rnacentral:rRNA from 1 species
AUUGAACGCUGGCGGCAUGCUUUACACAUGCAAGUCGAACGGCAGCGCGGGCUUCGGCCUGGCGGCGAGUGGCGAACGGGUGAGUAAUGCAUCGGAACGUGCCCAGUAGUGGGGGAUAGCCCGGCGAAAGCCGGAUUAAUACCGCAUACGACCUGAGGGUGAAAGCGGGGGACCGAAAGGCCUCGCGCUAUUGGAGCGGCCGAUGUCGGAUUAGCUAGUUGGUGGGGUAAAGGCUUACCAAGGCGACGAUCCGUAGCUGGUCUGAGAGGACGACCAGCCACACUGGGACUGGGACACGGCCCAGACUCCUACGGGAGGCAGCAGUGGGGAAUUUUGGACAAUGGGGGCAACCCUGAUCCAGCCAUGCCGCGUGCGGGAAGAAGGCCUUCGGGUUGUAAACCGCUUUUGUUUGGGAAGAAAUCCUCUGGGCUAAUACCCCGGGGGGAUGACGGUACCGGAAGAAUAAGCACCGGCUAACUACGUG